GUCUGUGGUCAAGUUCUUUAUAACAGGGUCAUUUGUAACUCUUCCGCUGUGAUUUGUAUUAUUCAUAUAUAAAAUAUCUCAAUAUUUGACAUUCUCUUUAACAUUACAAUGCCUGGGAAACUCUGCCUACUUCUCUAGAGAUGAGAAAUGAAAGGUCAAAAGAUUAUAGUUUUAUUUGAUUAAAGCAGAAAGUUGCAUGCAUCAUUAGAUUAAUGUACGUAAACAAGGUUUAGCAGUAUAAUUUUCAAUUACCCCCCAGAAAGAAUGGUUUCAUAUAUUACUGGGACCAUUACUAAAACAUAGUAAUUUCUGAAACCGUAGUGAGCUCUGGUAAGAUUAUAGUCUUCAACUUUAAUUUUUUAAGAUAGAAUGUUGUAAGUUUU
rnacentral:misc_RNA from 1 species